rnacentral:rRNA from 1 species
UACGAAGGGUGCAAGCGUUACUCGGAAUUACUGGGCGUAAAGGGUGCGUAGGGGGUUCUUUAAGUCUGCUGUGAAAGCCCCGGGCUCAACCUGGGAAUGGCAGUGGAUACUGGAGAGCUAGAGUGCGGUAGAGGGUAGUGGAAUUCCCGGUGUAGCAGUGAAAUGCGUAGAGAUCGGGAGGAACACCAGUGGCGAAGGCGGCUACCUGGACCAGCACUGACACUGAAGCACGAAAGCGUGGGGAGCAAACAGG